rnacentral:lncRNA from 10 species
GAAUGGGUUUUCCUGGGUUUCUGGAACUGAAUCAGCCAACGGGAGUCAGGCUGCUUGUGGCAAGAGGCCCUGGCUUAAUCUUCACAGGUGGAAGAGACCUGAGGGCUCAUCUCACCUAACCCCAAAUUUUCUAGACAACGUUCUGCUUGAGUUUCAGGAGGUGGAUCUGGAGCCAGCAGCCCUCCUGUGAGAACACUGGCCUGAGCCCCUCAAGCCGCCCCUCGUCUCUGAAUGGGGGUCAUUUUGGCCCUUGGUGGGCAGCUUCU